rnacentral:rRNA from 1 species
AUUUCGUGAACGCUGGCGGUAUGCUUAACACAUGCAAGUCGAACGUAAGUUUUUCGGAACUUAAGUGGCGAACGGGUGCGUAACGCGUGAGAAUCAGCCCUUAGGAGGGGGAUUAAAAACCCCAUAUGCCGAGAGGUGAAAAAGAGUAAUCUGCCUGAGGACGAGCUCGCGUCUGAUUAGCUUGUUGGUGAGGUAAUGGCUCACCAAGGCUACGAUCAGUAGCUGGUUUGAGAGGAUGAUCAGCCACACUGGGACUGAGACACGGCCCAGACUCCUACGGGAGGCAGCAGUGGGGAAUUUUCCGCAAUGGGCGAAAGCCUGACGGAGCAAUACCGCGUGAGGGAUGACGGCCUGUGGGUUGUAAACCUCUUUUAUCAAGGAAGAAUUUUGACGGUACUUGAAGAAUAAGCAUCGGCUAACUCCGUGCCAGCAGCCGCGGUAAUACGGAGGAUGCAAGCGUUAUCCGGAUUUAUUGGGCGUAAAGCGUCUGUAGGUUGCUUAGUCAGUCUGUUGUUAAAGCCUAAGGCUUAACCUUAGAUCUGCAGUGGAAACUGCUAAGCUUGAGUAUGAUAGGGGUAGAGGGAAUUCCUAGUGUAGCGGUGAAAUGCGUAGAUAUUAGGGAAGAACACCAGAGCCGAAGGCGCUCUACUGGGUCAUUACUGACACUCAGAGACGAAAGCUAGGGGAACGAAUGGG